rnacentral:rRNA from 1 species
UACGAAGGGGGCUAGCGUUGCUCGGAAUCACUGGGCGUAAAGGGUGCGUAGGCGGGUUCUUAAGUCAGGGGUGAAAUCCUGGAGCUCAACUCCAGAACUGCCUUUGAUACUGAGAGUCUUGAGUUCGGGAGAGGUGAGUGGAACUGCGAGUGUAGAGGUGAAAUUCGUAGAUAUUAGGAAGAACACCAGUGGCGAAGGCGGCUCACUGGUCCGGUACUGACGCUGAGGUGCGAAAGCGUGGGGAGCAAACAGG